AUGGAAAACAAUCCUUUGAGGGGUUUGUUCGGGGUAUCUUCACCUUGUCCGGAACCACAAUUAACUACCCCUCAACCUACUACACCUACUGAAAGUAUUGAAUAUGAAAUUCCUUCGGGUAUGGUAGAACAACUGCUAGCUAAUCCUUAUGCAGGAGAUGGAACAGAACAUCCUGAUAUGCACUUGAUAUAUGUGGAACAAAUUUGUGGAUUGUUUAAGCUUGCAGGUUUACCCGGAGAUGAAGUGAUGAAAAAGAUUUUACCUUUAUCUGUGAAGGGAAAAUCAUUGGCAUGGUAUAGGCUAUGCGGUGAUAUUGUAUCAUGGAAUUGGAAUCGUUUGAAAUUGGAGUUCCAUCAAAAAAAUUAUCCUAUGCAUCUAGUUCAUCGUGAUCAGAAUUAUAUAUAUAAUUUUUGGCCUCGUUAA
rnacentral:rRNA from 1 species